UACAGAGGGUGCGAGCGUUUGUUCGGAAUUACUGGGCGUAAAGCGCGCGCAGGCGGCCCUUUAAGUCCAUCGGUCAAAUGCCGGAGCUCAACUCCGCGCGUGCGAGGAUACUGGAGGGCUGGAGACACGUAGAGGCAAGCGGAAUUCCGGGUGUAGCGGUGGAAUGCGUAGAGAUGUGGAGGAACACCGAUGGCGAAGGCAGCCCCCUGGGUCAAGAUUGACGCUCAUGCACGAAAGCGUGGGGAGCAAACAGG
rnacentral:rRNA from 1 species